rnacentral:rRNA from 1 species
UACGUAGGGUGCAAGCGUUAAUCGGAAUUACUAGGCGUAAAGCGUGCGCAGGCGGUUUUGUAAGUCUGUCGUGAAAUCCCCGGGCUUAACCUGGGAAUGGCGAUGGAGACUGCAAGGCUAGAGUUUGGCAGAGGGGGGUAGAAUUCCACGUGUAGCAGUGAAAUGCGUAGAGAUGUGGAGGAACACCGAUGGCGAAGGCAGCCCCCUGGGUCAAAACUGACGCUCAUGCACGAAAGCGUGGGGAGCAAACAGG